ACUGGGUGCAGUGACGUAUGCCUGUAAUCCCAGCGGCUUGGAAGGCUGAGGCAGGAGGAUCACAAGUUCAAAGCCACGUUCAGCAACUUAGCGAGGUUAGUCUAAGCAAUUCAGUGAAACCCUGUCUCUA
rnacentral:sRNA from 1 species